rnacentral:rRNA from 1 species
AUGUAAGUUCCUACAACAUAGCGUUAAUGCACCAGAUCCCAUUAGAACUCCACAGUUAAGUACACUCAUGCAAGAGUAGUACUGGGAUGGGUGACCACCCUGGAAGUCCUAGUGUUUUACAUG